AACGAACGCUGGCGGCAGGCUUAACACAUGCAAGUCGAGCGCAUCCUUCUGGAUGAGCGGCAGACGGGUGAGUAACACGUGGGAACCUACCCUUAUCUACGGAAUAACGCAUGGAAACGUGUGCUAAUACCGUAUACGCCCUAUUGGGGAAAGAUUUAUCGGAGAAGGAUGGGCCCGCGUUGGAUUAGCUAGUUGGUGGGGUAAAGGCCUACCAAGGCGACGAUCCAUAGCUGGUCUGAGAGGAUGAUCAGCCACAUUGGGACUGAGACACGGCCCAAACUCCUACGGGAGGCAGCAGUGGGGAAUAUUGGACAAUGGGCGCAAGCCUGAUCCAGCCAUGCCGCGUGAGUGAUGAAGGCCUUAGGGUUGUAAAGCUCUUUCACCGGAGAAGAUAAUGACGGUAUCCGGAGAAGAAGCCCCGGCUAACUUCGUGCCAGCCGCCGCCGUAAGAC
rnacentral:rRNA from 1 species